UACAGAGGUCCCAAGCGUUGUUCGGAUUCACUGGGCGUAAAGGGUGCGUAGGCGGUCGGGUAAGUCUGAUGUGAAAUCUCACAGCUCAACUGUGAAACUGCAUUGGAUACUAUUCGGCUUGAGGUCUGGAGGGGGGACUGGAAUUCUCGGUGUAGCAGUGAAAUGCGUAGAUAUCAAGAGGAACACCAGUGGCGAAGGCGAGUCCCUGGACAACUUCUGACGCUGAGGCACGAAAGCUAGGGGAGCAAACAGG
rnacentral:rRNA from 1 species